rnacentral:rRNA from 1 species
GCGUUGUCCGGAAUUAUUGGGCGUAAAGGGCUCGUAGGCGGUUUGUCGCGUCGGGAGUGAAAACACUGGGCUUAACCGAGUGCUUGCUUUCGAUACGGGCAGACUAGAGGUAUGCAGGGGAGAACGGAAUUCCUGGUGUAGCGGUGAAAUGCGCAGAUAUCAGGAGGAACACCGGUGGCGAAGGCGGUUCUCUGGGCAUUACCUGACGCUGAGGAGCGAAAGUGUGGGGAGCGAACAGGAUUAGAUACCCUGGUAGUCCACACCGUAAACGUUGGGCGCUAGGUGUGGGGCCUAUUCCAUGGGUUCCGUGCCGCAGCUAACGCAUUAAGCGCCCCGCCUGGGGAGUACGGCCGCAAGGCUAAAACUCAAAGGAAUUGACG